rnacentral:rRNA from 1 species
GACGAACGCUGGCGGCGUGCCUAAUACAUGCCAGUCGAACGAGAGCGACCGGUGCUUGCACUGGUCAAUCUAGUGGCGAACGGGUGAGUAACACGUGGGUAACCUGCCCAUCAGAGGGGGAUAACAUCCGGAAACGGAUGCUAAAACCGCAUAGGUCUUCGAACCGCAUGGUUUGAAGAGGAAAAGAGGCGCAAGCUUCUGCUGAUGGAUGGACCCGCGGUGCAUUAGCUAGUUGGUGAGGUAACGGCUCACCAAGGCCGUGAUGCAUAGCCGACCUGAGAGGGUGAUCGGCCACAUUGGGACUGAGACACGGCCCAAACUCCUACGGGAGGCAGCAGUAGGGAAUCUUCCGCAAUGGACGCAAGUCUGACGGAGCAACGCCGCGUGAGUGAAGAAGGUGUUCGGAUCGUAAAACUCUGUUGUUAGAGAAGAACAAGUGCUAGAGUAACUGUUAGCGCCUUGACGGUAUCUAACCAGAAAGCCACGGCUAACUACGUG